GGGCCGCGUAGUUUAAUCGGGAAAACGCUACUCUUGCAAGGUAGAAACGCGGGUUCGAGUCCCGCCCGGUCCA
rnacentral:tRNA from 1 species